rnacentral:rRNA from 1 species
UACGAAGGGGGGCUAGCGUUGUUCGGAAUCACUGGGCGUAAAGGGCGCGUAGGCGGCCGAUCAAGUCGGGGGUGAAAGCCUGUGGCUUAACCACAGAAUGGCCUCGAUACUGUUUGGCUUGAGACCGGAAGAGGUUAGUGGAACUGCGAGUGUAGAGGUGAAAUUCGUAGAUAUUCGCAAGAACACCAGUGGCGAAGGCGGCUGACUGGUCCGGUUCUGACGCUGAGGCGCGAAAGCGUGGGGAGCAAACAGG